GCGGAUCAACCAACUCUGUUAUAACUUGCCUACCAUCUUGUAAACGAGGAGUAGCCUAAAACAGAAGAAGUUUGGGCAAGCUACAUUAAGCAAGCUAUGCAAGAAGUUCAAACUGAAGCAGGUAAUUAUCAAUAAACCCAGUCAUGUUAAUUCAGGAUUGUAAAUGGAAAAUGAGAUAAAUGACAUGUAUGGAAAAGACAUUUCGAUUAACAAAAAUACGAAUUAGGAUGUCUGAGCUAUUAUACAAAGGAUGCAUUUGGGUAAAUAGCUUAAUCAAGCGCUUGUUUCAAUAAAAUUACUUAUCAGUAUCACAUAAUCGUUUAUUCAUAAGCUUAUUUGAGCCGCUUAUAGGUAUGUAAAAAACUAUUCUCAUAAGCUUAACCAAACACAUGCUUAAGCGUUUAUGCUAUUAGAUAAAUUCAAAUAAGCUCUUCCAAAAGCACCCAAAGAUCUAUUCUCAUGAAAAAGUUGGUCAUAAGUCUUAGCACCAAAUACUGAACCUAGAAAAUCCUUCAAAUCAAAAUAAAAUAUGGACAAAUGCAGGCUAGUGUAACAAGGGAUGAUUGAUUUACAAUACCCAUACAACAAGGCUUUCUUCUUUGCCUGCAGAUUUAUGGAUGGGAUGCCGACCACUGAUAAUCUCAAGAAGAACCACCCCAAAACUGAAGACAUCCGACUCAAGAGAGGCUCUACCAACAAUUGCAUACUCAGGUGCAAAAUAGCCAAAUGUACCCUUCAUUCUUUCCGAGGAAUCU
rnacentral:lncRNA from 1 species